rnacentral:tRNA from 1 species
GGGCCCGUCGUCUAGCCUGGUCUAGGAUGCCGGCCUUACGAGCCGGAGGUCCCGGGUUCGAAUCCCGGCGGGCCCACCA